UGAGGUCUCGUUUGCUAAAUUUUAAUUUAACAAAAUUUAGGAACAUGAUUCUCAGA
rnacentral:pre_miRNA from 1 species